rnacentral:rRNA from 1 species
AUACGUAGGGGGCGAGCGUUGUCCGGAAUGAUUGGGCGUAAAGGGCGCGUAGGCGGCCUGUUAAGUCUGGAGUGAAAGUCCUGUUUUCAAGAUGGGAAUUGCUUUGGAUACUGAUGGGCUUGAGUGCAGGAGAGGUUAUCGGAAUUCCCGGUGUAGCGGUGAAAUGCGUAGAGAUCGGGAGGAACACCAGUGGCGAAGGCGGGUAACUGGACUGCAACUGACGCUGAGGCGCGAAAGUGUGGGGAGCGAACAGGAUUAGAUACCCUGGUAGUCCACGCGGUAAACGAUGAAUGCUAGGUGUUGCGGGUAUCGACCCCUGCAGUGCCGGAGUAAACACAAUAAGCAUUCCGCCUGGGGAGUACGGCCGCAAGGUUGAAACUCAAAUGAAUUGACGGGG